rnacentral:rRNA from 1 species
GGACUACCCGGGUAUCUAAUCCUGUUUGCUCCCCUUGCUUUCGCGCCUCAGCGUCAGCUUUAGCCCAGAAAACCGUCUUCACCACCGGUGUUCUUCCACAUAUCUACGCAUUUCACCGCUACACGUGGAAUUCCGUUUUCCCCAACUACGCUCUAGCUCUGCAGUUUCAAAUGCAGCUCCGGGGUUGAGCCCCGGAAUUUCACAUCCGACUUACAGCGCCGCCUACGCGCCCUUUACGCCCAGUAAUUCCGAUCAAUGCUUGCACCCUCCGUAUUACCGCGGCUGCUGGCAC